rnacentral:rRNA from 1 species
AAAUUGAAGAGUUUGAUCAUGGCUCAGAUUGAACGCUGGCGGCAGGCCUAACACAUGCAAGUCGAGCGGUAGCACAGAGAGCUUGCUCUCGGGUGACGAGCGGCGGACGGGUGAGUAAUGUCUGGGAAACUGCCUGAUGGAGGGGAUAACUACUGGAAACGGUAGCUAAUACCGCAUAACGUCGCAAGACCAAAGUGGGGGACCUUCGGGCCUCAUGCCAUCAGAUGUGCCCAGAUGGGAUUAGCUAGUAGGUGGGGUAACGGCUCACCUAGGCGACGAUCCUAGCUGGUCUGAGAGGAUGACCAGCCACACUGGAACUGAGACACGGUCCAGACUCCUACGGGAGGCAGCAGUGGGGAAUAUUGCACAAUGGGCGCAAGCCUGAUGCAGCCAUGCCGCGUGUGUGAAGAAGGCCUUCGGGUUGUAAAGCACUUUCAGCGGGGAGGAAGGCGUUAAGGUUAAUAACCUUGGCGAUUGACGUUACCCGCAGAAGAAGCACCGGCUAACUCCGUGCCAGCAGCCGCGGUAAUACGGAGGGUGCAAGCGUUAAUCGGAAUUACUGGGCGUAAAGCGCACGCAGGCGGUCUGUCAAGUCGGAUGUGAAAUCCCCGGGCUCAACCUGGGAACUGCAUUCGAAACUGGCAGGCUAGAGUCUUGUAGAGGGGGGUAGAAUUCCAGGUGUAGCGGUGAAAUGCGUAGAGAUCUGGAGGAAUACCGGUGGCGAAGGCGGCCCCCUGGACAAAGACUGACGCUCAGGUGCGAAAGCGUGGGGAGCAAACAGGAUUAGAUACCUGGUAGUCCACGCCGUAAACGAUGUCGAUUUGGAGGUUGUGCCCUUGAGGCGUGGCUUCCGGAGCUAACGCGUUAAAUCGACCGCCUGGGGAGUACGGCCGCAAGGUUAAAACUCAAAUGAAUUGACGGGGGCCCGCACAAGCGGUGGAGCAUGUGGUUUAAUUCGAUGCAACGCGAAGAACCUUACCUGGUCUUGACAUCCACAGAACUUUCCAGAGAUGGAUUGGUGCCUUCGGGAACUGUGAGACAGGUGCUGCAUGGCUGUCGUCAGCUCGUGUUGUGAAAUGUUGGGUUAAGUCCCGCAACGAGCGCAACCCUUAUCCUUUGUUGCCAGCGGUUAGGCCGGGAACUCAAAGGAGACUGCCAGUGAUAAACUGGAGGAAGGUGGGGAUGACGUCAAGUCAUCAUGGCCCUUACGACCAGGGCUACACACGUGCUACAAUGGCAUAUACAAAGAGAAGCGACCUCGCGAGAGCAAGCGGACCUCAUAAAGUAUGUCGUAGUCCGGAUUGGAGUCUGCAACUCGACUCCAUGAAGUCGGAAUCGCUAGUAAUCGUAGAUCAGAAUGCUACGGUGAAUACGUUCCCGGGCCUUGUACACACCGCCCGUCACACCAUGGGAGUGGGUUGCAAAAGAAGUAGGUAGCUUAACCUUCGGGAGGGCGCUUACCACUUUGUGAUUCAUGACUGGGGUGAAGUCGUAACAAGGUAACCGUAGGGGAACCUGCGGUUGGAUCACCUCCUUA